CAAUUGAACAGGCAUAAGCUGGCAAUCCUAGAGCAAGCACAAGCCUGCAGCAAAUACAAACUCCCUGCAGAGUACAGAAAACACAGCAUUUUCAUAACCUGGGCAAACAGUCUGAUACUAACGCCACACCAGCUUCCUGCCAAUGUAUAAAUGUGUGGAAAAUGCUGUCAGACCUCAUCAGUUAGAUCUGCAUUAGAAAUAGCUGCUUAUUAUGGAGAUUAGCAUAGACUAAUUAGAGUUUACAACAGCCUUAGCUCAAAGGACUUGUUCUAAAUAGCAUGAAAUAAUUUUAGACCCAUAUGUUACCAAUGCAUUUAAAAUUAAUCCAUGUACCUCGUCGCUGCAGGACACGAAGGGAGGAGCCAUUACCAACUUCAGAACACGCGUCCUUUGCUGUGCUGCUGUUUCCUUUGCUAGUAAGUACUAGCACUAAGUUCACAGCCAUCGUGUAUUGUCAAGCUAUGAAUAACUGCUCUCUGGGAGAAAUACACCCAUUGCUAAAGUGAUCCCAGCAUCUGAGAUGUCUCAGGGCACAAUUCAGCUCUGGUUUCCCAGGCGGUGAAUGAGAAACGUGCUCUGUGCCCUAGACAACAACUGCAUAGUGAGCUGGCACUGAUGGGUUCAUCUUCUUGCUUAAGCUUUAGCAGGCAACAGUGAGAGCCAGCUGCAGACAGAGCUGUGUUGACCUCACUGCAAAUACACAGGCACGGCGAUUCUGAGGGAAGUGACAGUGAACAUGGUCUGACUGCUGUAGGGCUCAGGGAUUCCUGCUUUGCUUUGCCUUGUGCCAAGAAGGAAGACCAAAAUCAUGCAAGGGAGCUGCUGGCACUAGCGGGAAGUGUCAGUGACAAACAUUGGAGGCUAUAAAGGACACUGAGGCUAAAAAGUCACUGAAGACUAGAGGAGUCAGAGGGAAAAGGAGAGCAGGGCUGGCUGCUAGCAUAGUGUUUGCAAAAUGAUUAGUGCCAGUGCUGCUGUCUACCAACCUGGAGUCAAGACCAGUCUUGAUCACUGGAAACCUCACAUUCUCUUCUGCAACAUAAACAACUAGAGGAAGUAGGAGGCUCUGGAGACGGAGAAAUAUUUGAAGGUAUUGGACCAGAGAUAAAAGGCUUAUUUCUGAACCUAUCUUUAUGAAGCAGAUUUGUGUUUGGUGAAUUAUCUGCCUCAUACCUCAGAAUAGAGUGCUAUCUAUUCAGAGUCAGUAGAAAUGACUGAGAAGAGGAACAGAAAAUAACUUUCUCAAGUACUCCAAUUUAAAACUAGGCUAAGCUUCAUAUUGUAUGUAUGCUUCUUGCUCUCCAUCAGAAGCAGCAGUUUGGCAGGUGAAUCCUCCUUGGACAAUAUGUUGCAACGUUAUAUUCCCCUACCCAGAUCACGCCGUGUAAACUGCUGAAAUUAUCCUCUUCACAGCAGCUACCUGGGGAAGACUGGAGAGAACCACAGCAAAACAUUACUGGAACCAGAGCAGGCAUUACUAUAUAUGCCACCUUACAUGCCUGUGUUGGCACGCAGAGGUGGGGGCAGAUUCACAUGCUGCUCAUUCACACUUGGCACAGCUGCUGUUCUUGGAGGGUAUCUGUAGUUUUUCAAACACGAGCUUUGCAGGAUAACAUUUCCUGGCACUUCAGUCCCACUCUAAUGGGAGAGAAAUUUCUGUCUACUUGAAUUUCUAAGCACUGCCUUCUCCUCACCCUGUUUCACCUUCUUCAAGUAGGCACUGUUGUUACUCUAGCUCUAGCUCAGUACUGCUAAAUAUAUCUGCAUAAAACUGGGAUUUUUUAUUCAUGUGCAAAUACAGCUUCUAAUACCUUGAGAAUUAUUGUCUCCCGUAACCCCAAGCACUUCGUACUUCUGCAGUGGACUGGUUGGCCCAGCUCCUUCUUAAGCAAAGUGACUGGGCACCACAAAAAGCUGGGCAGAGCAGGAGAGGGCAGUAAUUUCAAGGCAUGGAUUGAUCCUCAGGGAUAUACAAAUCUUUUUUUAAUUCAAAAUGUACCUUAUUUUUAAAAUAUCUUAUUAUGUAAUUCAUUUUCUCUUUAAAAGGUAUAUUAAUAUCACAGCCAUAAAGUUCAAGUAUGGUGGUGCUCAAACAGAAUGAUGUUGAAAGGACAAAUGCAUCUGCUUAGUUAGCGUAGGCGACAUACAUGGACCUUAAAAUAUAUGAUGUGCCAUUUGCAUGUGUCAUCAAGCUUUCUCCCUCUCUAAAUUAACAAGAAGUGUUCCUCACUCCUGUGCAGUACAGUUAACUAAGACAUUUUAGCAGAACUGACAUUAACAGAUAUAAUCUUUAGGACACUUUUGGGAACAUAAUGUGCUAUUUUAUAUUAAAUACACUACUCAAACUGAAACACAAAAGACCAGCAUGAUACAUUUCAAAAUUUGAUUUCAUUAAACAUAUCUGAACAGCAAAACAAAACCCAUGAAAGGCUGCAAUCACUAUGUGACUUUAUUGGCUAGCUCUAAAACAAGGCCAAAAUCUCUCUUCUCCCUAGAUUUUGGGAUAAAACUUAGUUUAGUGCUAUUCCCAUGAGACUCUUUUUCUCAAAGAGCUUAUACCCUAAAUUCUUUAUUUCAAAACUGCUCCAUUAUAUCCUCGAGAACUUUCUUUGUGAAACUGUAAAAACUUACCUAGCCUAAUUUCUAUGUUUUAAAAUGAUGUUCCAUCAGCUAAAAUUUCUACUGUACAAACGCUGCCAGUCCAUACUAAUCCUUAACCCAAACACCAUGUUAUGGAUUUCGUCUUAUAUUGUCCUUCUAUUACACAGCAAAACAGGUGUCCCAACAAUGUCAGCUACAACACUUCUCUGUGUGACUCUGAACCAGCACCAGUACCACUUCCAUGUACUCCCUUUAACUGAGGUUAAACAAAGCUUAUGUGGUCUCCCUGCUUCAGUAAGGUGAUAGACCAUUCAUAUGGGAAAAGAAGAUACUUUUCUGUUCCCCAGUACUCUUUCCUUCCUUCUCCUCUCCAAAAGAUCCUUGGCACUUUCUCAUAAAUGUGCUCCUGCCUCUAAAUUGCCUCUUGCUUUGAAAUGUCCAGUAUUCCUUUUGCUUGGAGAGGCAUAUAUCCCUACUCCAGUGAUCCCCCUGUUCCCACUCAGCUGUCUCUCUCUUAGGCUAGCAUGUCAUUUUUACUUGUCUUCCCAUUGUAGAUUUCCAUUUAUUGGCUCUUUUUUUUUCUUUUUUUUUUUUUCUUUUUUUCUUCUUCAAACAGGUCUUCAGGCUGUUCCUGCAGCUGGAAGCAGAGUGCACUAUCAGAGGUGUCCAGUGUCCCCUGAGAGCCAAUAAGUGACUAUGACUUGGGAUAUGCUGCUAUUCAAGUUGUUGGACCAGAAUCUAAGCAGUUCUGAGCAAAAGCAUCAUUAUCUGCAGUGAGUGAAUUUCAAAGAGCUGCAUACUGUGGGUUAGGUUCAUACUUCAGAAAUACCACUACUUGCCUAAAAGUAGUCCUGCUUUCCUCAAAGUGUUUUCAUUCAACCCUGCUCUAUGCAUGUUAUGAGUUAGUGAGAUGCAGAUGGACACUCGGGAACCAAUUUCCUUCACAACAUUGGACUGAUUGUUAAAUUCAAGCUAUGAGCAACAGCGUACAAGUAGAAGGCUUCUGAUUUAAAAACAAUUACAAAACCUCUAAUUUGCUACCCACCUCACUGACAGAAACACAGAAGAACACUUCAACUCACAUACUAGGAUAAAAACGAAGCCAGUGUUUUUGAGUCUUACCUUUGUUCAUCCAUGUGUGAGCUGUAUAAUGACGCUCGUCGUGUGAGAAUGUACUGAUUCCAUGUAAUUGCUGAAGCAUUGCCCGUCUGGAAAUGUAACCUACUGCCACAAAAUCGCAUGCAUUGCAAAAGGACAAGAACAAUUGAGCCAACCGUCAUCAUGACAUUUAUAUGAAAGCAGCCCUGAGCAGUUAUUGUCCUAGCUCUUUCCUUGCAUGACAGAGUGGUCCUGCUGCACUGCAAUGGUGUGUAGGAGAAGAUUUAAUUUAGGGUUUAGGGGGUUUCUGAGAAUUUAAAAGACAAUUUGAGUAAAUGAUUCCAUAUGUUUCAACUGCCACAUUCACAGAGCACUUGUAGAGAUCUUCUCCCUUUUGUUUAGUGGAUAUAAUGCUGGAAUUUCCUUACUUUCCCAUGGAAUUAAAAGAAAAAGGAGGGGGGAUACUAAUGAAAAUAUUUAUACCACUGAUGUGUGCUCUUCAGGGGAAUGUUCUGACUUCUGUAUUCUCAGCUGCAGCAAAUGCUUUGUAAGGGGAACACAUCCUUACAUAUCAUCUCUUCCAAGAAAUUGUCAUUGCGAUUAUUCCAAAAUAAUGGAGUAAGGACUAACAGAUGCAUAAAGCCAAUUUCCUUUUGGAGUUAGGAAUCAUGAAAGCAAAAGUAUGACUUGUUAUGAGGAAUGAAAUUAAACUACCAGUGAGAAAGAUCAGUAUUUUCACCGUUUCCUUUAAUUACUGGAGAGUUUUGCAAUUAACUGUCAGACACCUAAGAUGCCUAAAUAUUAUAGGUUCUUUCCUGGUUUUAACAUACUGCAUAACUGAUCUACUUAAAGAACAUAUAUAAAGAUCAACCUUUUUUGAUAUGGAAAUCAACAUAUUCUGGAAAUAAAGUCAAAUGGUUUAUAUUCUCCUCACCUGGAGAUUUCUAAAGUUUCAGUUCCAAACAUCAGACUUACCAGAAGCUAAUGAAAAUAUUAAAACAUUUGACAGUUUAAGGAUCAUCAGCUUAAUAUCUUUAGAGAAAUCUGUCACUUUUAAAAUUAUUGAAUCAGGAAAGCAUGCAAAGCUCUGAAUGCCAAUGUAAACACACAGUAAAGGAAUUACACUUCAAACAUGAAUUUGCACACAUUACACAUCAUACAGACAGAGACUGAACCGUAUUACUGACGGCAAUGCUUCAGCAACACAGAGGAGAAAGGGGCAGGAAGUAACGCUGCAGGGUUUUCACACAUUUAAGAACACUGCACGGUUACUUGGCUAAGAACAUCUUCAAACACAUUUUAAUAGCAUCACUCUAAAGCUGCAUUCCACAUCAAAGCAAUUCACUAGAAAGCAGCAGAAGUUGUCUUAGGCACAAACAAUGCAACAAUCUAGACUCUUGCUGCGAAUUAUUUUCUACUGUAUCAGCUCAAAUAAGUUGCCCUAAAACUAUGUCGAAAAGCACGUGAAUAUAUUGCUUGGAACGCAUUCAGACCAGGGUGACUGUAUCUGCUUAUACACAGCCCACACCUGUGGGAUGCUUAACCCUCCCUUGAAAAAGUUCUGCAAUGUACUGUCCUGAAGUUGCUAUGGUAAUAGCAGUGUAACUUGAAUGACUUCACAGAAUUAUACUGAUACAAGACGAUGUAUGUACAUGAUGGCAAAUAAAGGCCUGAAAGAGAAAACAGAUUCAAGUCACCAGACUUGGAUCUUUAUUUUGAUAUUUCCAGAAUAUGGAAAAGUUCAGGCUUAGGUUUUAGUUCAGCAUGUUUUAAAAACAGGAGGGAACUGUUAGAGCAAAACUGUUUUUCAAAUUGAAAAUGAUGUAGAAAUAAGCAUUUUUAUAGAAAGAUAAAAAUGCUAGAGAUCUUUACAGUAAAUAAUGUCUAUCAAGCUUCCAUAUUUGAUUGCAUGAAUUACUUCCCUUUACUUACACAAGCAAACUGUCUUCAUAUUCAGAACAGUAAGAGCUCAGUUUGGAUUUAGAUUAUAAGUUUGGACAUACUUUUCUUAAUCAAGGAUAUCACAAUUCUCCAUAAUCUAGACCCCUACCUAAAAUAGCUAUGCUGCUGAAGUGUCUCUUGAUACCAUUGGUGGUUUCGGAAAGAAGAGUAUGUUCUAUAGCUUUCAUAUGCAGAAGUACGUAAGAAUCAGGAGGAGACAACAGGUGCAAUAGAAGAAAAGCCUUGGGUCCAUUCAGUAAAUGAGUCAAAAUAGUUAUAACAAAGCAAGUGAAAGCAUUCUUUUUUUUUUUUCUCUCUGAUAGAUUUUCUGCCCGUGCAGCUGAAGUGUAGUCAGAAAAACUUUGCUUAAAAAAAAAAAAAAAGAAAAGCCUUUGGAAUACUCUUGUAAUGUAACUUGAACAGUCUCAGAGUAUUCAUAUGGUCUUCCCUCGUUCAGCCCCAUACCUAUACCAUUUUGCCAGAGAAGUACCAGGAACCAUCUAAUGGUAUGCUCCACUUCCCAAACUUUCAAAAAUUAUUUCAGAUAUAGAAAAACAGUUUAUGUUGAUCUGAAGUGAUUGGUAGCAAACAAAAAAAAAAAAAAAAAAGGGUAAAGUUGAGCAUGCAGUGCACCUGCCCUCCAAAUUCAACAUGCCUAGUGUACAGCGUGAAAUCAGAUUAACUUGGAAUCAAAUCAUCAUUUAAAUUAAAACUGACAAGACAUUCAGUGAACAGAAGAAGAACAGAGCUUUCUUUUAGUUAGUUUUAAAAAUAGGGAAAAUUUGCAGAUUCCAAUGAAGAAGCAAGUGGACCCAACAUCCUACAAGAACCUCAAAGAAAAUGUGCUCCCAGGAAAAAACAAAUGCAAACUCAAUCUAGCCCAAUAGAGUUGAAAUUUAGGCACCAGCAUCACAGAUGUAUGCAGACAAGGCUCUUCUCUCUUUCUUCCCCGGCCUUUCCUGGCCAUUAGAUACUCACGAGGUACCCCAGUCUCUAGACUUCCACUCGUCACUAUAGGGACAUAGGGAAAACUCUGUUGUAAUCAGGUUUUAAACUCCACUGAAACCUCUGAGGGAAAGCAGUGUUUGGAUCUGAUAAAAAUUAUGAGUCAGUCUAAAUGACAACCGCUCCACUGGCUUUUUGCAGUCUGGUGAUUGUAGCACUCAGCAGAAAGCUGGAGGCACAAACCAGCCUCAGAGGAGUGACAGCAUCUAUGCCUUCUGUAUCUGUGGUCACUAGGUAUAAUGAGGACAUUGAGACAUGAAGACAUUCUUCAUGUCUUCCCUGGAAGCUACGCCACUUGUAACCCAGGCAUGUUAGGGGAGCUUUACUUCAGCCUAAUGGCUAUGAUGCUUAGCUGAGAGUGAUCCUAAGCAAUAUGGUGGUGACAAAAUGAGCAACUAGUGGAGACUGUGGCGUACCACAAUAUCUCUAAGCUAUUUCCUAUUAUAUAAUUUCUAUUGUUACCAGCUAUGUAAAGUAACUUCAGAUGCUAAGAGAAUUGAAAUGAUUCACAAGCAGAACCAACACCAUGAUCCCCUCACAGAGAAAUAAUGAAAAAAAUCUCAAGUCAAGGGCUUUUCCAUCUGCUUUGAAAGCUUAUCUGUGAAAAAACCUGUCCCUUAGGGGCCUCAUGAAGAGUGGUCCCGUGACAGCUGUAACAUUCCCAGAGGACCGGAUAAAUGUCAGUUCUUCUGGCUGCCUGGGCAAGGAAGUUUCCCAGAAGCCAUUCACUCUGCCAUAUGGUGAGGCAUGACAAAGGAUAUGUGGCGGGGAGCAUGAGCUGUUCUGAAAACCUGCCAGAGAUGCAAUAGACUCCUCAGAGAACCUGUUUCUGCAGUUAACUAUCCCUGUGAUGGAAAUUAAUCGCUGACUGUCCCCAUGAAACUGUGGCUCUGCCUUAGUAGUUUAUGUCCAUUACAUAUCCUGUCCUCUCAGCAGGCAUGAACAGCAGUUUAUUCCCUUCCCCUCUGCAGUUCCCUGCCAUGUAUUUGAAUCACUUUGUGCUGCUUCUUCAACGCUUUUCUAGAUCAAGGAACUAUGUUGUUUUUCUCUUUCCUGGAAAGAAAUUAGCUCACAUCCACAUGUGGGCUUCAGAACCAACCGAACCAAGAAAAAAGGGGUUAAUGAUAAAAACAGAAAUUUCCCUCUUCUCACCACUCCCCAUCCCAAACUUGGAAAGGAAACCAAAUGGUCCCAUCUGCUCAUCCAGUUCAAAAAAUCCAAUGUGAUAUGCAUAGAGCACUUCUACAGACAGCAUAACAGUAUAGCCAUAAUUGACAAGAGAAAAAUUUACAACAAUUUUAUAGAACUAUGCAGAUUCAGAAGAAAAUCUACAAGUAUAAAAGUAUACUGGAUCCAUUAAAAUGGAAAUUGCAUUGUACUUGCCAUAGAAUUUUUGAUAAGGUUAUUAGAGAUAAUAGCUAAAUAUUCUUGAAUGGUUUGUUUUGCCAGCUCUCAGCUCUUUCAACUCAAGUAUUCUAUAUCAAAUUUUAACUUUAUAUAACCAAAAGAAUUAAUCCAAAAGCUGAGGUAAAUACUGAAACUGAAUUAUUUUAAAGAAAUCUAAAGCAAAUUUACAAAAACUCUGCUCUUAGCAUUCCUAGAAAAUUACAAUGCAUACCAAACCCUUGUAAGGAUUUCUUGAUCAGAGUUAAGUUUGUAGCACAAAGAUCUAAAUGGUCUUUCUAGUCUAGGGUUGUAAAAACUGGACUAGUUAAGAACUACAUAAUGGAAAAAAAAUAAUAAAACCCAGAAAGACAGUUUUCUAUCAUUGAUGCUGGGAGAAAAUAGAUUUCCAAAUGCAAAAUUUCAAAGUGAAAAUACACUGUCUCUACUUCCUUCCUAAGACAUAUGAUACAAACACACAUGGACAGACAAAUACAGAAUGUUUCAAUUUCUGUGUGAAUGCAGACAAUGAGGAGGAAAGAAAAGUCAGAGUCUGCCAGCACAGGCUCUUGAUGGCAACUAGCAAGUCAUGGCAGAGAAAACCUUUUGGAGAAUGCAAACUGCUUAAAAAAGCAGGAUGUUUGAAAAAAGCAGAAACAGAUAAAUUUCAAAUCUGAAACGCUUAGCAGAGUUAGCUGGAAUUUAUUAAAGCAAUGAGGAGUGCAUGACAGCAUAUGUAUCUGUGCACACAUCCACAUAUCCACCCAGCUAUACCAGUAUAACCACCCUGAGUUCCCUCCCACAAGAAUUUUAUUUUUAUUCUUUAACGUCAAUGUUUUCUUUCAUCUAAAAUUUCAAUAAAAGCUAGAUAGAAACAUAGAUUUUAUUUUUCUAUGCAGAAAAAGAACAGAUGUUUUGGGCCUGUUCACCUACACUGAUUGGGCCUGUUCACCUGGACUGAUUUGUAUUUGUGCCACAGGACAGAAGGCAAGCCAUGGAGGAAUACAUAUUUUCCCCAAAGAAGCUAAGCAAAAGGUUAAUAUAAUCACUGUUUCAAUGUUUCUGUGAAGACACUUGCAAGCAAAACAGGAUGCUAGUUGGAGUUCAGAGCUGGAACAGACCAAGACAUCUAACAGAAAUGAAAUCAGAAAAAUUUAGUGUGUGAAGGCUGAUUGAAAAUGCACUCAAUGAAAAUGCUGGAAAUAUAGUUCCUAUUGUACCAAAAGAUCAGAUUUAAAUAAGUUGUUUUUGAAAACCAAUGUGAGAAGAAUGAUAUAUUAUUCUAACAGAUAUCUUAUGAUUAGUCACCAAAAUGUAUUAUCUUUUUAAUCUAAUCAAUUAAUAAGGGGUUUUAAGAGUAGGAACUGGAAGAAUUAUUUAAAAAAAAAUCUCCAAGCGUCAUCAGUGCUUCAGAGACAGGCACUCAGCUUAAGAAAAGGCAAGAAUCAUCUACCCCCACACAAAGGAUUUUCUCUUUAUGUAUAGAAAGUGCUUAGUACUUCUGAGAUAACAAUCUCUAAUCAAAAUUCUAAUCAGGUUGAAGAAUAAAAUCCUACCAAAUGCUAACCUGAAAUACUACCCUUCUGGCGAGGACAUAAAAUAUGUAUUUUGGUUCACCAAAGGAAAAUUUAAAACACAACUUCUUGUGAAUAAAUCCAUUAUUUAUUGCAGCAUAUACUCCUAAGUAGCCAAUAAAUUCUUCACACAGAGAGAAUUGUUUUAUUUUACUUUGGAACAGCCCAACCAGAAGCUUUUGAUCAAACACACUUCCACAUUUUGCAGAGAAUUUUUAUUCUCAGCAUAUUCUUUCUCAAGUCUUUUAACUUAUCUUCCUUCUCCCUUGCCCUUUUUCUUAGCCCCAUCCUAAGAAUUUUCAAGGAUCAUAUCACCUUCUACCACACUAUUCAAUAAAAAACCCUUCAGAAAUAAAUUCAACCUCCUGCCAAAACAAUAUGUCUAGAAAUCAAAGAUGCAUGAAGAAUGGCUGAAUGUCAAUUGUUCAAGAUAGAUCAGUUAGUAGAGCUAGAAAUCAAAAGACGAAUACCACAGGUAUCUACAAAAUGUUCAUACAAGUUGGACAGAUGGUUUCUCUUUAAUGAGAGAAUGCAAAUCAUCAGAAAAAUAUUUUAGUUUAUAAACCUGCUGACAGGGGACAUGUAUGUUUGCGCAUACAAUCCCACACACUCAAGGACCACCCCAAGCCACACCCUAUAAUAUUACAUCUUAGUAUAAAUUAUUCUAAAGGCUCUGUCUGACUCUUUCUUGCAGCAGAAAGAACUAUAACACAGUCAUUUCAUUGACCUGAGAGUUGUAAUAUCAUUUCAAUGACACAGGUGAUGCUUUUAAAAAGGACUUUUUUUCAAGUCACGUUAAUUUUCAACAUGUACCUGAAAGGAAGUUAGAUGACUCUCUCUAGAGAGAGAUAUACCUUAAUAUAAAACUAGAUAGGUAUUAUAAUUAGUGAUGAGCUGUAGAAAUGGAAUCUUUUAUGAUAUGGAUACACAGAAAGCCUCAUCAUGCUGUCAAAGUAUCACUGUAUUACUAAAUGUUUUGUACACAAGGGUCAGUGGGACCUUAGGGAUUUGUAGGUUCCCUCUUCUGCCUGCCAUUGACCCUACUUACUCUGGGAGGAUGGGAGAGAAAAGGAAAAGAAGCAUAAAAUAAUUGUGUAGUACUGUAGCCAGUUUAGAUACAAGUAGUGUCGAUAUUACAGCAGUAUCUGCAUACAUGUAUUGCAGAGGAGUUUGGUACUACGUAGAAUGCAGAGAAACAAAAAGCAGUUGAAACUAUUGUGGUAGUGAUGAAUCUUCCACUAUGAACUAUCAUAUGCAGUGGUACUUACCAUAUUUGAAUGGUGUAUAAAGAGAGGUAGAUGAAAGAGUUAUGAUCAUCAUCAUCACAUAGAGGAAAAAUGGUGAUUACACAGAUGAAAAGUGCCCUUAUGCAUGGGAAUUUAUAAACAGCUCAGAGCUCUGUAAAUCUACUUAAGUACCAUUUUUACACACAAGACAUUAAUUAAUCCACGUUAAAACUGAAAUUUAUAGGUUUACUAUGCAAACCAGAUUAUUCCUUAUAACUAAUUGUUUGAGGAUUACACUUCACCAUAUGUUACGUGAAGCCUACAAUGUGAUUAACAUUUUCGCUGUUCAGUUUACAACUUCACCUUUGAAGAAUCCAUGAUACUGUAACAUCCUCCUAAAGGCCAGAUCUAUACUAAAGAUGCCAGUAAGCAGUGCUAUGUUUGCCAUGCAUGGGAAGAUAUAAAAUACCUGUGCUAACGAGGUACAACUUGGCCUAGCAGUUUCUUUGGUAUUGUUACAAAGUGUAAUUUUGCUAUGAUUACAAGAAGUUCAUUGAGAUAAUAUAUAGAUAUGUGAAAACAGUCUAGUUUUACAUACAAAUUAAGGCCAUGGCUGAAUGGUCACUGAAGAAACAGCAGUUUCAGUUGAAAUGUUACUAUUCCCAAGUAUUUGUCCCUGUUACUCUGCAGAAGAUUAAUACUUAUCUAAUAAAGGCGGAAAAAUAGGUCAUGUGGGCAUUUCUCAUUUGCUUUAGUACAAAGGCAUUUGGAUAAAGUAAACCCAAUGUAGAAAGCUGUUAAGUGUUUCUGUACUGAAGCAGAAAGGGACAGCACAAAUGAUCCAUCUUUUACCAGCGUCUUGUUCUGGUGUGAUAGCUUCUGGCAAUGGGAGAUGAUUUCUGCCAGAAACUUAAUGACAUAGCUGGAAGAGGGUAACACAUUUAGUGAAUACAACCAUUUUUCAGAGAGCAUCUGACCAUGCUUUGCUCUAUUACCCUGUGGAUCAAUGUAGGUAAACAGUAUCCUUAAAUCAAAUGCAAGGAGAUGCCAGAGGACACUGCAACAGUCUUUGGGAUAGCACCUCCAUUCUAUCAAGAACAGUAUCUUAGAACCCCUCCAUGAUGAAUUAGGAUAUUUUCUUACUGGGUCUCACACAUGUAGACCCUAUUUUUGUUUUGUGACCCCCACAGCAGUCAGAAGAAAGGUCGAAGAAGAAUUUAGUAUUUUAUAUUGUCAUAAAGAAAAUAAAAUGAUUCUAGCAAUUUGCAACUAGUAACAAAGGUAUUUGUUACAUUAAAAAAAAUAGACACACUGAGUGAAACAAUUCCCCUUGCUCCAUCUCUAUUUAUAAUCAUCAAAACAAGGGAAAGCAGGUUCCAGUCAUAAAGAACUUCUGUGGUGCAGACACCUUUGCAGGUGGGCAUGUUAGGAUACAAAUGCUCCUUACAAGAAAUAUGUAGAGUCAUGGUAUUGUUGAUUGCCUUUCACUUACAGCAUCAUGUUCAGGCCAAGCUACAGCCCAAACAAGAGCUAUAGGAGAUUAUUAUCUCUUAGGCACUUAAGAUAUUUUUCUGCAUCUUCAUUAAAAUUAAGAACUGGACUUUAAGAAGAGUUAAGUGUAAAAAAUACUUAUGUUUUUUAAAUAUUAUUGUGUAUCUAUUACUAAAAUUUAACACAAUAAACACUAUAGUCUUGCAACAUUUACUUUGAUACUAUUCUUUUCAGUUUUUGGUAGGCUGAAACUUUUCAGCAUAGACAAUGCGUUGUUGCAGGAAUGAGGUAGCGCUGGAAGCUUGGGAGACAAGGGUAAAGGAUGCCAAUACUAGAGUGGGAACACUACCAAGAUUGAAGGAAAACACACCAGCUGAAUGUUCCUGCUUUUAAUCUGCAGUUAAAUAGCUGGCACUGCUGAAAUUAAAAUAGGCUGAUCGUAAGUUUUAAGCACAAUGUAUUUCCAUAAGUGGUCCGUUCUAUAUCUCUAAGUUUAAUUAAGUCUCUUCACUCAGGUAGAUCAAGAUCUGAAGACUGUUUUUCAAGCAGCAAAACUAGAAGCUCAUUAUAAAUACAAAAAUUGAUUAGAUUUUGGGCUAUAAUUUUACAGUCGUCAGUGGCCAGGGAUUGUGGAAUUUUAUACCAUCUUUACUACCAAUAAAUAAAUAAAUACAUGCAAAGCCUGAACUUGCAUUCUAAAAAUAUCUUAUUCAUUUUCAGACUUGGUAAGUAGAGACAAUGAGAGUUUGAAACGUUAGUACUACUAGCUGUCACGAUUACUGUACAUAAGCCACUAUGAACAAUUGCUUUUCCAGAACAAAGCACCCCAUCCGUACAGGCGAAGGGACAGCUGUAAGAGUUCGGUGAGGUUCAGCAUACUGCAUCCCUAGGCAGCACAGAGCUCAGGAGCAGGCUGGUUAGUAACAACACUAACACACAGGGGUUGUUCUAAUUCUAAACAGUCAGGUGAAGACAGCAGUUCAGGGCAAUGACUAGGACAAGGAUCAUGCUAAACUUAAUCACUUCCACACCUGAACUGCAAGUGUAAUUUACUGCAAGAUUGAGGUGGACAACUUCCCUACCUGCCUAGAAGCUGCAAUGAUACAGGUAUUUAACUGUCCCUAUUUGUGACAAUUAUAAAACUAACCAUAAUAUUGCUAAAUUAUUCUUUAUAUCCCACAUAGAUUUAUCUUACUGCUAAAGAAACUGACUGCUGAACAAUAUGUUUGUCUGCUACAGAACUAAAGAUGUGAGGCUGAGUCCUUGGACCCCUGCUAGAGGCCGUGGUCAAUCAGCACAGCACAUGCUGCCAUCUGAUGAGGCAGGGAACAAAACACAGUUGCCUGAAACGCUGCCUACAUUAGCCUGUCCUUCAUCACUGAAAACAGGUCUUUAAACCACAACAAUCCACUGAGAAAGGCUUAGAUCAGAUUUUAGAGUGGGUUGGCUUGGAUCAAUGGAUUACAACACAUUCAUACGAUACUAUACUUCCCCUCACAUCAGGUACACAAAUAUGAGGUGGAGAAUUACUGAAUGCAAUUUUCCCCUCAGCUUAUGAAAAGAUACACACCUGUAUAUAACUGACUUAUUUUUGGUCAGCAGAUAAUCCAUACUUAUUAAUUUAAGUAAACAGCUGGUCAGCUAUUCAAAACAAUGAAAGCUCAAUACUAUAGGUAAGGGCGAGCUUGAAGUUUCUACCCCCAUUUUAAAUGUCAGGUUAUUUAUAUCUCAGAAUUAGUCUUUAGGUUUCUAUAUAUGAGUAUAUUCAGUAUACCAUAAUUCUCGUCAAUUUUUAUUGUAUCCAAGGAAAAGAUGAAUUUUAAUAUACCAAGAAAAAUUAGUUUCUUUGUUACCAUGCCAUGAUAGCACCACUGUACACAAUGAAAAGCUAUUUCUACGUUCAGAUGAUAAAAACAGAUUCUAUACUGAAUACGGCAUAUAGUGUGCUAUUAUACGUAGUCUUCUAACGUGCAAAUCAUGUCCUUUACUUGUGAAAGCAGUUCUGUCUCAAUGAACAAAACAGGAAAGAAUUGUUCAGAAUUAUAUUUUAGAAAGCAAUUAGUGUCUAUACUAAGACUGAAUAUCUAUGAAACGGCUCUGUAGGAGACACAACGUUCAUGAUUCCCAUCAUGUUUCUUAAUACAUAGCCAUUAACUGAGCUAACAGCAGAUAUCAAACUGAUGUGGGUGAUUCAUUCAAGUUAUAUUUAGGAAUUUUUCCAAAAUAUACUGGAACUAUUCAUAUAUUUCAGCAGAAUGUCCUUUGAGAUCGGGGCUUUGUUCAAGGGCACAGGCUGACUGUUCAACCUCAGCAAAAGAUACAUCCUCAUCCAGCUGCUUCCUUUCUUCAAAAUUCAGUUUGUGUGAAGGAGUUUCAGCAUGAUAUCUAAUUAUCUCCAGGGGGAUCCUAGGAAGUGGUGAGGAACAUAACAGAGUAAAAAAGAAUCAUAUUCUAUAGAAACAUCAACAGUAUUUGUGAGUCCCUUUUCCUGAACAUUGUACAGAAUGGACACAAUUCGUCUCAACCCCUAUUCACUGUGCUAUAUUUUAAGAGAAAUUCUGCUGUUUCUUUUAGUACGCUUGCUUGUCUCAGUUUACCUUCACAGGCCAAAAUUAAACAAAUAAUCAACAGCUUCUGGGCACCUAAAUCCCUUUAGUUGUCUUUCUGAAUAAGCAAAGCCAGUUCCUGUGUAGAGAACAAAUCAGCUGCAGGGACAUCCUUCAAGCACUGAAGGUGGUGAAACGUUAGUGAAUGCUAGAACAAUGAAUGGAAGGGGGAAUUUAGUCAUCAGUGACACACUCUUCUAUACUUUAACACAAUUCCGUUAUUCUGAUUAGAUAUUAUUUUUCAACUAUACAUCAAGGAGCAAUACAGCUCUGCAAACCUUUAUAAAAAAAAGACACUGAAAAAAAAUAAUAUAAUUCUGGGUAGUAGGACUACAACAUUUUUGCUGAGAAGUUGAUAAGAAUCAAGCAGAUAAAUCCAGAGUGCAUUUACAAAGGAACUACGUGCAUAUUUUUAUGGUAUAAGCUCAAUGAUAUUAAACAUUUCUGAAGAAUAGUUAUGUACUAUUUGAGAAAAGGUUCUGUAUUGCAUAGUAUGAAAAAAAAAGUGUACAAGAAAAGUGAGAGGAAAAAACAAUAGUAAUUUCCUACAGUGUACUUUGUAAGGGAAACUGUGAGGAUGCUUGUGCUACCACCCUUUACCAAAAUGACUGCAAUGAUUUUCUAGCCUUUUGAGACCUGAAUCACCUGAUCCUCCUUUGCCAUAAGAGACGUCUUCCAGUCACCCCAAAGAACAGAUAGAGAAAGCUUGUAAAGACUUUGUAAAGAUCAGCUUUGUUCAACGUGUAAGGAAGAACAACACUGAAACUUUUUUGUUUGCUGGCUCACUGCUUUUGUCAUUGGGUCACUCGGGCUUUUCUCAUAUCAGAAAUAUAAGUUGAUAUUGAGCACCAGUUGAUAUUGGAGAUACUAACAGUACUUAAAAAGCAGUGCUUUUGUGCUUUUGAUGCAACAGUGCAACAGCUCCUAAAUCUCUCUUAUUUUGGAGAAGGGAUAGAAUAAGUUGCCUAGGAUAAAAAUACUGCACAAAAAGCCCUCCUCUCUUUUCUACCCCUUUCCACAACUGCAUUUGUCAUCUCCUCCUCUCCCUUCCCAUAGAUGUCAUUGCCACUGGCACCACACGACCCUAGCUGAGAUUUAACUGAAUCUGAGUAUACCCCAUGAGGUCAAGGGAAUUUGCGUUAUACUCCCUACUGGUCCUGGAUCCCAAAAACAAGUACCGGAUUUACUAAUACACUGCAUCUGGGCAUGCUGUUUCAGCAGAGCUUCUCCUUGAAGCAUUCACCACACUGUGUGACAGUCACUCCACUCUACCUGGGCAGCACCCUUUUCUCCUGUUUGUGGAUAGUGAACUAAAUAGCCAGGGCUCAGGAACAGCUAUUCCGCUCAUUAAUUUAAACAUGUAAGGCUCAUGCAAACCCACUGGAAGUAAUUAUAGAAAACUACCCCAUACUACAAGACAUGAGCUACUGUGAACUUGAUGGAACUACUGAGAGAUGCCUUAUGAGAGAUGCAAUGUGCAACAUGACAGAGCAAGCCUGCUGGAUAGCCUCAAAUUUAAUCUGAUUCUUCUGAGGAGUAUUACACAGACCUGAAGCAUAUUAUAUAUACAUGGACAUGCUAAUUUUAGUUUAUACACAAUAACACAUAUAUGUGACACAACCUGCCUUGUCACACAACUACUUUAAACUACUUGGUGACCUUUGCAAAAAGCAAAAGGGACCAGAGAAAAGCUGAAUCUCUGUUAAAACCAAAUGUACUGAAAAUAUCAGUAAGAAAGGAGAAACAUGAAUUUGCAGUUGCU